rnacentral:rRNA from 1 species
CUACGGGAUGCUCCAGUGGGGAAUAUUGCACAAUGGGCGCAAGCCUGAUGCAGCCAUGCCGCGUGUAUGAAGAAGGCCUUCGGGUUGUAAAGUACUUUCAGCGGGGAGGAAGGGAGUAAAGUUAAUACCUUUGCUCAUUGACGUUACCCGCAGAAGAAGCACCGGCUAACUCCGUGCCAGCAGCCGCGGUAAUACGGAGGGUGCAAGCGUUAAUCGGAAUUACUGGGCGUAAAGCGCACGCAGGCGGUUUGUUAAGUCAGAUGUGAAAUCCCCGGGCUCAACCUGGGAACUGCAUCUGAUACUGGCGAGCUUGAGUCUCGUAGAGGGGGGUAGAAUUCCAGGUGUAGCGGUGAAAUGCGUAGAGAUCUGGAGGAAUACCGGUGGCGAAGGCGGCCCCCUGGACGAAGACUGACGCUCAGGUGCGAAAGCGUGGGGAGCAAACAGGAUUAGAUACCCUUGUAGUC